UGUACACAAACACACCUAUCGUAAAUGUUGGAAGGUGUAUUGGUGCUUUGUUCUCUCCUGUCCCGUGUCUCUCUCUCUGCUUGUCUUGCUUUGCUCUGGAGUUCAUCAUUUUCCUUCUUCACUUUACUCAGCUCUGUACAUAGAGCUUGGUUUUGACUUUGCAAUUUAGCCAAUGUCUUACUCCAGUGCAGGUCGUCUGCAGGAGUUACUGGAGCUUCCUGCUGUCCGGCAGGACUGACGUUCCUCUUUAAAAGAAUUUGCUGAUCUGGCUGAGAUCCUGAUUUCUGAAGCCCCUGCUGACCCCGAUACCUCCCCGUCUGAUAACGGAUUCAUUUGAACAACCGCUUCUCGUAGGCCGAGGAUCCUCCUGAGGCGUUUGGCUUCCCGCUCCAGUUGGUCCAGUCUGCUAGUGAGCACAGAUCGGUCUGGACUUUCCAGCCGGAGCAAAGGGCGGGACUGCCUGCUGGUACGGCUAAGAGGAGGAACCACCACGGUCUGAGCGGGUGGCAGAGGGUGAGACCACGCCAUGGAGGGAUGAGGUGCGAUGGGGUGAGGCCAGCCUGGGGGGCUAAUGGUAAGUUUUGGCUGGUCUUUAGUCUGUGGGCCUUGUGCCACUUGCUGCUCUGAAGGACUCGGGUUAGCAGCGCUCUCUGUGUCAGGAGACACUGCAGGACUUUUACCCUCUUCCGUAGCGUUGCUCAUGGUCUGGUCCUUAUUGCUGUUUGUCUCCAACACUUCCAGAGUUUUUUCCAUCACCUGUUCCUCUGACUCUGUUGCAGUAGUUGAUAUCUCUUUUUCAGAGUCAGUGCGUUUUGGUGAUUUGCUGUCGAUUUCAUUGUUCGUCCAUGUCGCUUUUCUUUUGUUGCUAGAGAUGAGAAAGUUAAAAUGAUGAAGAAUUCAUAAUGGAUACAUUUUGUGAAUAAUCAUGUCCUUCAGGUAAAUCUAUCUAUAUAUAUAUAUAUAUAUAUAUAUAUAUAUAUAUAUAUAUAUAUAUAUAGUACAUUUUUGUUCUUCAUAUAUUCGCGUUAAAGGAAUACUCCAGCAUUUUUCCACUUGAUUUAUUGCGUAUGUAGUGCAUGUGCGACUACCAUUCACAAGAAUUUGGACACGUAUCUCUGUACUGAAAGCGAUCAGAUAUGUGUAUUGCAUAAAAUGUAAAAUAGAACAACGUUAACAAUUGCCUUAGAACUUGGAGUAAACAGGUUUUGUGUUCCUUUUAGAGAUGUAACGGUAUGAACAUUUCAUAUCAUGGUUAUCGUGACCAAAACUAUCAUGGUUAUCAGUAUUAUCACGGUAUUGUUAAAUUGUGCUGAAAAUGUACAAAAAGUACUGAUACACACACUGAAAUCAUUUAAACAGGACCUGAUGCCCCUCUUUUGAAGCGACUUUCUACUAUAAAGUUCUACAGGCAGGCUUACCAUCUUCUAUUAAGCUUCCCUCAGCAUUUUUAUAAAAUCCAAAAUACGACCACACUUCGGAUUUGGCCCUCUUAGAAGGUUGGGAAAUCUCCCGAGCGCCGUCACUGCCUUCCGCCAUGUUUUCACGCUAAAAAAAAACGACGACGUUGAAUGCUGCGCCUGGGUCAGACUCAUACUGGGUGUGCGUGGACAGCGUUUACCGCGAGUUUUACAUAUCAGGAUAAUCGCGCAUGGUUUUAAUGCGACACUGUAAUACUAGCCGUCGGGGAGUUUUAUCAUGAAACCGGUAACCAUUUCAUCCCUAGUUCCUUUCCCAAGUAAAGCAAAGCGUCCGAAAUUUUGCUUGUCACAUACACUCCAAUAUGAAUGAAUAUGGAUUAGUUCUUGGUGGAAAAAAGCCUGGAACAUUCCUUUAAGUAUUAUUGUAUAUGUUCAUAUCAGUGAUGUGAACUGUAGCUGUAAACUGGUGAUAGAGUAUUGAGAUGCAGGUGUCAGACCGAUGGGAAUGUGAGGAUGGUGUGGAUUCGUCAGCUUUGCUCUCAGUCUCUGCCUCUAUGGUAAUAACAGUUUCAUCCGGUGUGGUUUCUGAGGUGGGCUCAGAUGCCUCUUUGCAGUCAUGAAGGGCUGGGCCUUUAUCACUCUUAAAAAUACACACACAUGCACACACAGGAGUAUGAGUUAAAAUAAAUAUUAACUCUGAGAGCACACUGAAAAAGUUUCACAAGCUUGUCUAAUUUUAAUCUGUACAAGAGGAAAUGAGUGACCAGCAUGACUUAAACAAAAGGUCAAAAAAGAAACAAACAAACAAAAAAAAACAACACAACCCAAUGCCAUAACUGAAUGCUUCUGUUAAUACUUCUAUGCAGAUGCACACACACAUACACAACAUGUUUCACUUUGUACGUUGCCAUAUGCAGUACUGUGAAAAAGUCUUAGGCACCCUAUUUGUUUUUAGUACAACCUUUGUUAGAGCUUUUUUUAUUUUUUAUUUUAUGACUUCUUCAUUAUCGAGUCAGUACAAAAAACAUUUUAGAUUCCCAAACAUUAGUUUUC
ensembl:lncRNA